rnacentral:rRNA from 1 species
CGUUGAAACACCGUUUCCUGUUCGAUCACCGAAGUUAAGCAACGUCGAGCCUGGUCAUUACCUACAUGGGUGACAGCUUGGGAAUACCAGGUGCUGUAAG